rnacentral:ncRNA from 1 species
UACCUGGUUGAUCCUGCCAGUAGUCAUAUGCUUGUCUCAAAGAUUAAGCCAUGCAAGUCUAAAUACGAACUCUCGUACAGUGAAACUGCGAA